CUUUUAUGGAGAGUUUGAUCCUGGCUCAGAGUGAACGCUGGCGGCGUGCCUAAUACAUGCAAGUCGAACGAUGAAGCUUCUAGCUUGCUAGAAGUGGAUUAGUGGCGCACGGGUGAGUAACGCAUAGGUCAUGUGCCUCUUAGUUUGGGAUAGCCAUUGGAAACGAUGAUUAAUACCAGAUACUCCCUACGGGGGAAAGAUUUAUCGCUAAGAGAUCAGCCUAUGUCCUAUCAGCUUGUUGGUAAGGUAAUGGCUUACCAAGGCUAUGACGGGUAUCCGGCCUGAGAGGGUGAACGGACACACUGGAACUGAGACACGGUCCAGACUCCUACGGGAGGCAGCAGUAGGGAAUAUUGCUCAAUGGGGGAAACCCUGAAGCAGCAACGCCGCGUGGAGGAUGAAGGUUUUAGGAUUGUAAACUCCUUUUGUUAGAGAAGAUAAUGACGGUAUCUAACGAAUAAGCACCGGCUAACUCCGUGCCAGCAGCCGCGGUAAUACGGAGGGUGCAAGCGUUACUCGGAAUCACUGGGCGUAAAGAGCGCGUAGGCGGGAUAGUCAGUCAGGUGUGAAAUCCUAUGGCUUAACCAUAGAACUGCAUUUGAAACUACUAUUCUAGAGUGUGGGAGAGGUAGGUGGAAUUCUUGGUGUAGGGGUAAAAUCCGUAGAGAUCAAGAGGAAUACUCAUUGCGAAGGCGACCUGCUGGAACAUUACUGACGCUGAUUGCGCGAAAGCGUGGGGAGCAAACAGGAUUAGAUACCCUGGUAGUCCACGCCCUAAACGAUGGAUGCUAGUUGUUGGAGGGCUUAGUCUCUCCAGUAAUGCAGCUAACGCAUUAAGCAUCCCGCCUGGGGAGUACGGUCGCAAGAUUAAAACUCAAAGGAAUAGACGGGGACCCGCACAAGCGGUGGAGCAUGUGGUUUAAUUCGAAGAUACACGAAGAACCUUACCUAGGCUUGACAUUGAGAGAAUCCGCUAGAAAUAGUGGAGUGUCUAGCUUGCUAGACCUUGAAAACAGGUGCUGCACGGCUGUCGUCAGCUCGUGUCGUGAGAUGUUGGGUUAAGUCCCGCAACGAGCGCAACCCCCUUUCUUAGUUGCUAACAGGUCAUGCUGAGAACUCUAAGGAUACUGCCUCCGUAAGGAGGAGGAAGGUGGGGACGACGUCAAGUCAUCAUGGCCCUUACGCCUAGGGCUACACACGUGCUACAAUGGGGUGCACAAAGAGAAGCAAUACUGCGAAGUGGAGCCAAUCUUCAAAACGCCUCUCAGUUCGGAUUGUAGGCUGCAACUCGCCUGCAUGAAGCUGGAAUCGCUAGUAAUCGCAAAUCAGCCAUGUUGCGGUGAAUACGUUCCCGGGUCUUGUACUCACCGCCCGUCACACCAUGGGAGUUGUGUUUGCCUUAAGUCAGGAUGCUAAACUAGCUACUGCCCACGGCACACACAGCGACUGGGGUGAAGUCGUAACAAGGUAACCGUAGGUGAACCUGCGGUUGGAUCACCUCCUUUCU
rnacentral:rRNA from 1 species